rnacentral:rRNA from 1 species
UACGGAGGGUGCAAGCGUUAUCCGGAUUCACUGGGUUUAAAGGGUGCGUAGGAGGGCAGGAAAGUCAGUGGUGAAAUCCUAGGGCUUAACUCUAGAACUGCCGUUGAUACUCUCUGUCUUGAAUACCGUGGAGGUGAGCGGAAUAUGUCAUGUAGCGGUGAAAUGCUUAGAUAUGACAUAGAACACCAAUUGCGAAGGCAGCUCACUACACGAGCAUUGACUCUGAGGCACGAAAGCGUGGGGAUCAAACAGG